rnacentral:rRNA from 1 species
AGAGUUUGAUCCUGGCUCAGGAUGAACGCUGGCGGCGUGCCUAAUACAUGCAAGUCGAGCGAACAGACGAGGAGCUUGCUCCUCUGACGUUAGCGGCGGACGGGUGAGUAACACGUGGAUAACCUACCUAUAAGACUGGGAUAACUUCGGGAAACCGGAGCUAAUACCGGAUAAUAUAUUGAACCGCAUGGUUCAAUAGUGAAAGACGGUUUUGCUGUCACUUAUAGAUGGAUCCGCGCCGCAUUAGCUAGUUGGUAAGGUAACGGCUUACCAAGGCUUUGACGGGUAGCCGGCCUGAGAGGGUGACCGGCCACAUUGGGACUGAGAUACGGCCCAGACUCCUACGGGAGGCAGCAGUGGGGAAUAUUGCACAAUGGGCGGAAGCCUGAUGCAGCAACGCCGCGUGCGGGAUGACGGCCUUCGGGUUGUAAACCGCUUUCGCCUGUGACGAAGCGUGAGUGACGGUAAUGGGUAAAGAAGCACCGGCUAACUACGUGCCAGCAGCCGCGGUGAUACGUAGGGUGCGAGCGUUGUCCGGAUUUAUUGGGCGUAAAGGGCUCGUAGGUGGUUGAUCGCGUCGGAAGUGUAAUCUUGGGGCUUAACCCUGAGCGUGCUUUCGAUACGGGUUGACUUGAGGAAGGUAGGGGAGAAUGGAAUUCCUGGUGGAGCGGUGGAAUGCGCAGAUAUCAGGAGGAACACCAGUGGCGAAGGCGGUUCUCUGGGCCUUUCCUGACGCUGAGGAGCGAAAGCGUGGGGAGCGAACAGGCUUAGAUACCCUGGUAGUCCACGCUGUAAACGGUGGGUACUAGGUGUGGGGUCCAUUCCACGGGUUCCGCGCCGUAGCUAACGCUUUAAGUACCCCGCCUGGGGAGUACGGCCGCAAGGCUAAAACUCAAAGGAAUUGACGGGGCCCCGCACAAGCGGCGGAGCAUGCGGAUUAAUUCGAUGCAACGCGUAGAACCUUACCUGGGUUUGACAUGGAUCGGGAGUGCUCAGAGAUGGGUGUGCCUCUUUUGGGGUCGGUUCACAGGUGGUGCAUGGCUGUCGUCAGCUCGUGUCGUGAGAUGUUGGGUUAAGUCCCGCAACGAGCGCAACCCUUGUUCACUGUGGCCAGCACGUUAUGGUGGGGACUCAGUGGAGACCGCCGGGGUCAACUCGGAGGAAGGUGGGGAUGACGUCAAGUCAUCAUGCCCCUUAUGUCCAGGGCUUCACGCAUGCUACAAUGGCUGGUACAGAGAGUGGCGAGCCUGUGAGGGUGAGCGAAUCUCGGAAAGCCGAUCUCAGUUCGGAUUGGGGUCUGCAACUCGACCUCAUGAAGUCGGAGUCGCUAGUAAUCGCAGAUCAGCAACGCUGCGGUGAAUACGUUCCCGGGGCUUGUACACACCGCCCGUCAAGUCAUGAAAGUUGGUAACACCCGAAGCCGGUGGCCUAACCGUUGUGGGGGAGCCGUCGAAGGUGGGACUGGUGAUUAGGACUAAGUCGUAACAAGGUAACCA